AGCUUUGCGCAGUGGCGGGAUCGUAGCCAAUGAGGUCUAUCCGAGGCGCAAUUAUUGCUAACUGAAAUAAAAGGACUACAAGCUGGUACACAUUUAGUCUUCAUACCAGUCACAAAUAAUUAUUUCUAAAGUGCAGAUAUG